rnacentral:lncRNA from 1 species
GAUGCUACUUCCAGUGUAUUGUCUACAUUAAACAAGACAGGUAAUAUCAAGUUAUUACUAAAUGUCAUAGCAUUUCUUCUAUGACUUCUUGAGUUUUUCACUUGUGUGGUCUACGGGUUAGUAAAGAGAAGUUUUCCUUUGCUAACUUUCUUGAGCUUUCAACUAUUAUUAUUCCUUUGACUUUGACAUUGAACUAUAAUUCUGUUGUCAUCACUCUCAAACUUAUGAACUAUUAUGGCAGUAGCACUUCAUUUAAAUAACAUUUAUUAUCACAGUGAUACAUGGUAGCUCAUAAAAAUGGAAAAUAUAGAGAAAUACAAAGAAGGAGGAUAGAAAUCAUCUUUAAUGUUACUUUUCUAAGACUUACUGUUAAAAUUUGGUAUAUUUUCAUUUAGUAUAAUAUAUGCAUGUAUUUAUAUACAUAUAUCUUAUGCAUAUGUCUCUUGCAAAGUACUCAUAGUUUAUGUAGAUUUUUAUAUCUUGCUCUUCUGACCUAAUAUUAAAUUAUAAGUAUUUGCCAAUAUCUCUUGCUUUUAAUGACUUGAUAACAUUCCAUUGUAUACCAUAUGUUGAACACUAAAGUUGUUUCUAUUUUUUUAAUAGAGGUUAUUCCAAUGAACAUCCUGGUGCCAAUACUUUUCAUUCAUCCUUGAUUUCUGUAGGAUACAUUCCAAGGAUUGGACAUAAAGUAUGAAUAUUUUAAGGCCCUUGACACCCACUGUCCAAUUACCUUCCAGAGGGUUGUGUCCAGCAACAUUCCUUGCAGCAGUGGAUGAGGUUAUAUAUGUCACUGUGCCUUUGUUAGGAUUAUAGUAUAUUAUUAAUUUUUCUCUCAAUUACUUAGGUUUUCUUUUCUUUUCUUUCUUUCUUUUUUGGUAGCAGGGGAUUGAACCUAGAGGGCACUUACUCACUGAACCAUAUCCCCAGCCCUGUUUUGUAUUUUGUCUAGACACAGGGUCUCACUGAGUUGCCUAGGGCCUCCCUAAAUUGCUGAGGUUGGCUUUGAUCUCGUGACCCUCCUGCCUCAGCCUCCCAAGCUGCUGGGAUUACAGUAUACCAUUGCACCCAGAUUAUUUUUCAUUCUUGAUUAUUAAUGAGGUUGAAUAUCAGAGCAAACAAAACAAUAUAUUUAAAGGAUUAUUAAUGAUAAUGCAGUCUCUGUAAUUACUACCAACCAUUGCCCAUGAGUCACACAGUGAAAUGAACUCAUCAAUAGCACACACACACACACACACACACAAAUGAGGUUUUUGAAGUUGUCAAUAUAACAUCAUUCAUAAGUGUUAUCUCCAAGCUUCAAGCUUAUUCUUUUAUUCAGAAUUUCCCCAUCUGCACUAGGAGACAGAACUUUGCAAAUCUGUGCCCUGAACACAGCCUCUUAUAGUUGGCCAUCCUGAUGGCAUGGAUUGCUGAACCUGGUUCUCCAUUAUCUGGCAAAUGAACCAUGGGCUUUGUCUCCCAACUGUAAUGUAAUGAUAUUUUUAAGGUUUGCUUCUUUAGAACAUGUUAAUAUUUGCCUGUGAGUUCCUAACUUUAAACAGUUCUGGUUCUGCUGUGGGCUUGUUGUGUGACUAUAGUUGGAUGGUUUUGACCUCUCUCAAAAUAGUUUUAUCUAUCAGUACAAUAGGGAUAACUGUUAAAGCAAACAGCAGGAUGCUUGACUGUAGACUGCAGUAGCAGUAUUUUAGAUCCUAUGUGUAUUGACUCACAUUAAUUUUGACUCUGAAUCACCUACCCUUUACAACCUAUCACCCAGAGGUCCUGAGAGUGACUUAAUUCCACGUAUCUGAAAUUCACAUUUGUUGGUCUAGCAGCAGUGCCUGGAAACUGGAGUAGAAUUACACAAGCAGUGGGGUGUGUAAUGGGUGUGAUCUAACUGGGUAAACAUGGGAAUCCAACUCCCAGGCCCACCCCAUGCCAAUGCUACAAUUUCUGUGCAGGUCCCCAUUCCACUGCUAAGAUGACCAAUCAUGUCUUAAAAAGAUGUCAACGGUGUGAUUUUAGUGAAAGCACUUCACUAAAAAAUGAUAUUCAUGGCAAAGUGUUUUUUAAAAACAAGCAACAAUUGUGCUCUAAUAUUUAAAUUGCUUCUUUGCAGAAAAAACUAAAAUCACUAUAGUAAAAACCUUCAAUGCAUCAGGUAUGACUUAUUAUAAAUAUCAAGACUUUCUUCUUUAUAACUAAGGUAAAAUUAAACAAAUGGCUGGUGUUUAUGAUCUCUUUUUCUUUUUUUAAAAGUAAAAUCUGUUCUUAAUGAAUAGAUGUGUAGGUACUGGGUAUCUGAAGUUGUACUAGACAUUAAGGGCUGUAUAAUAAUGAUCAGGCACAGUGCCCUCUCUCAAGAAUCUUCUAGUCUCAGAGGGAGACAGGUCAAAGAAGCAGGUCACAAAUGUGAACAUGCAUGCAGAUAAAGGCAAUAAUUCCACCAGGAUUUCUCUUUCUCACUCUCUUUUUUCCCCCUUGGUGUUGGAGAUCAAACCCAGGGCUUCUUGCAUGCUAAGCAUGUACUCUACCACUGAACUACACCCACAACCCCACAAGCAUUUCUCAUGAUUAAGAGACAUAGGAGGUAGAAGGACUAGUGGUAAUGAGUUUAUGAACAGGAUGCAAUUAAUGAAAGAGAGGAGUGAACCUCAAAUUCUUUCUAAAGCAAAGCAAGGAUAUACUUUUAAGUACCUAAUACAAGACUAGGC